UACGUAGGGGGCAAGCGUUGUCCGGAUUUAUUGGGCGUAAAGAGCGUGUAGGCGGCUUGGUAGGUCCGCUGUGAAAACUCGAGGCUCAACCUCGAGACGUCGGCGGAAACCAUCUGGCUAGAGUCCGGAAGAGGAGAGUGGAAUUCCUGGUGUAGCGGUGAAAUGCGUAGAGAUCGGGAGGAACACCUGUGGCGAAGGCGGCCCCCUGGGCCGGCCCUGACACUGAGACGCGAAGGCGUGGGGAGCGAACGGG
rnacentral:rRNA from 1 species